AUUGAACGCUGGCGGCAUGCCUUACACAUGCAAGUCGAACGGCAGCACGGGUGCUUGCACCUGGUGGCGAGUGGCGAACGGGUGAGUAAUACAUCGGAACGUACCUUAUCGCGGGGGAUAACGCAGCGAAAGCUGUGCUCAUACCGCAUACGCCCUGAGGGGGAAAGCGGGGGAUCGCAAGCCCCCGCGCGAUCAGAGCGGCCGAUGCCUGAUUAGCUUGUUGGUGGGGUAAAAGCCCACCAAGGCGACGAUCAGUAGCUGGUCUGAGAGGACGAUCAGCCACACUGGGACUGAGACACGGCCCAGACUCCUACGGGAGGCAGCAGUGGGGAAUUUUGGACAAUGGGGGCAACCCUGAUCCAGCAAUGCCGCGUGAGUGAAGAAGGCCUUCGGGUUGUAAAGCUCUUUUGUCAGGGAAGAAACACCGGCUCUAACACAGUCCGGGAAUGACGGUACCUGAAGAAUAAGCACCGGCUAACUACGUGCCAGCCGCCGCGGUAA
rnacentral:rRNA from 1 species